rnacentral:sRNA from 1 species
AACUGCCCGGGCAAGGCGCAUCAGCUUCUCGAAGGAAAGCUCCGGCAGGUCAUAGGUCCGCCAACCACCAGCGCCUUCCGUCAGCACUUGCCCGGGCCGGU